UUAAUUUUUUACCGCAACAAGGAUAAAACUUGAAACUAACAUAGACUUAAUUAACUAAACUGUCCCUUGUCCCCAUUUCUUAAACUCCUCACACGCUACUUGCUCCAUUCUCCCCGUGGCCAUGCAACCAUGCCUACCUGUGACCAUGAAAAUCAAUCAAUCAUUAAAAUUCAUGAUCUGACUAUACAAUUCACAAGAUAAAUGAAAUCCAUGUCAACUAAAAUAUAAUUAAAAACACGUCGUUUGUGCUCUGUAGCAGGGAUACAUUAUCAUACGAGCCAGGUUAGAGUACUCGUACCAUGAAUAAAGAAGGCACACAACAUCUGGCAUUAUCACAAAAUCAUACUUGCACACAUUACCACCAGUAGCAAGAUAAACGAGGUGGAUAUCAGCUUUUAAAGCAUGAUUAGGAAUCAAGGCAAACUCUAUUUUCAGGGUUAGAAAGAAAAAGACCAAGUGCAAGAAUUGGAACAGAUAAGAAGCUUACCAGGGCAUGAUGCCAUUGGGUUGGAUGUCAUGCACGGGCCAAUAGAGCUCCCUCCCUAUCUCUUACGAAGCUCUCCCUACGACCCACUUCAGAG
rnacentral:lncRNA from 1 species